CGAAUCCUUUAGAGAUAGAGGAGUGCCUUCGGGAACGCUGAGACAGGUGCUGCAUGGCUGUCGUCAGCUCGUGUUGUGAAAUGUUGGGUUAAGUCCCGCAACGAGCGCAACCCUUAUCCUUUGUUGCCAGCACGUAAUGGUGGGAACUCAAAGGAGACUGCCGGUGAUAAACCGGAGGAAGGUGGGGAUGACGUCAAGUCAUCAUGGCCCUUACGAGUAGGGCUACACACGUGCUACAAUGGCAGAUACAAAGAGAAGCGACCUCGCGAGAGCAAGCGGAACUCAUAAAGUCUGUCGUAGUCCGGAUUGGAGUCUGCAACUCGACUCCAUGAAGUCGGAAUCGCUAGUAAUCGUAGAUCAGAAUGCUACGGUGAAUACGUUCCCGGGCCUUGUACACACCGCCCGUCACACCAUGGGAGUGGGUUGCAAAAGAAGUAGGUAGCUUAACCUUCGGGAGGGCGCUUACCACUUUGUGAUUCAUGACUGGGGUGAAGUCGUAACAAGGUAACCGUAGGGGAACCUGCGGUUGGAUCACCUCCUUA
rnacentral:rRNA from 1 species